rnacentral:rRNA from 1 species
CCUACGGGGGGCAGCAGUGAGGAAUAUUGGACAAUGGGCGCAAGCCUGAUCCAGCCAUGCCGCGUGCAGGAUGACGGUCCUAUGGAUUGUAAACUGCUUUUAUACAGGAAGAAACACUCCCUCGUGAGGGAGCUUGACGGUACUGUAAGAAUAAGGAUCGGCUAACUCCGUGCCAGCAGCCGCGGUAAUACGGAGGAUCCAAGCGUUAUCCGGAAUCAUUGGGUUUAAAGGGUCCGUAGGCGGGUUAAUAAGUCAGUGGUGAAAGCCCAUCGCUCAACGAUGGAACGGCCAUUGAUACUGUUAGUCUUGAAUUAUUAGGAAGUAACUAGAAUAUGUAGUGUAGCGGUGAAAUGCUUAGAGAUUACAUGGAAUACCAAUUGCGAAGGCAGGUUACUACUAAUGGAUUGACGCUGAUGGACGAAAGCGUGGGGAGCGAACAGGAUUAGAUACCCCAGUAGUC